rnacentral:siRNA from 1 species
UCUUUGAAAUUUCAUCGUGAUG